UGAAAAACGUACCUAAAGAUAUUCCAAAGGAUGAUUGGGAAUGGCUUGUCAAGGAGCAUUUCUUCAGCAAGGAGUUUUUGAAGAAGAGCAAGAGAAAUACCCAAAAUAGAGCUAACCUCAAAAUGCUUCAUCGAUCUGGCAGUAAACCCUUUAGACAAAUAAUUUGGGACAUGGGAGGCAAGGAAAACAAGCCACCGAGUAUGGAUAAACUUUUUUCGGAG